AAGUUUUGUACUAUACUGGCUUUACAGUAAUGGCGGACUGGGGAUCACUGUUGUGUCUUGUUGCUGUGUGUAUGGCAGACUUGGUGUCGUAUGCUAGCACCAAAAAGUAUGCCGGACAAGUCCUGUUGGUCUCCAUGGACGGUUUCCGAUGGGAUUACAUCAACAAAACCCAAACUCCAAAUUUUGACCGCAUGGCGCGCCUCGGGACGCAUGCGUUGUAUAUGAAUAACACGUUUAUUACCAAAACUUUCCCAAACCAUUACACGCUGGUCACCGGACUUUACGAGGAGAGCCACGGCAUCAUAGGAAACCACAUGUAUGAUCCCGUUCUGAACAAAACCUUCAGCCGCGGAAACAACGAUCCGGUGUGGUGGGACGGCGGGGAGCCACUGUGGGUCACGGCCCGGAAGUACAACCAGACGAGCGCCACCUUCUACUGGCCCGGAAGUGAGGCAAAGAUCCGCGGAUACCGACCGAACAAAUGGCUGCCUUACAAUGAGAGCGUACCUUUCCGGCCACGGGUGGACCGAGUGAUGGGUUGGCUAGCGAACGACUCCAUUAACUUUGUCACUUUGUAUUUUCAUGAACCGGAUAAAACGGGCCACAAUUUCGGACCGGACUCUCCACAGAUCAUAGAGAAAGUUAAGGAAAUGGAUGGAAUUCUGGGUUACAUCUUAGACAGCAUGCAGAAGUAUUCACUGACUGACAAGGUCAAUCUGAUAGUGCUGAGUGACCACGGUAUGACCACAAUAGAUCUACAGCAUCGCUUGAUCGACAUUUCACAGAUUGUGGACAUGAAAGAAGACGUUCUGUUCACCAUGGAUGGGGGUCCGAUCAUGCAUAUUAAUCCAAAAAGGAGCCCCGAGAAUGUUAUACAGAAAAUGCGGAAUGCUUCUGUUCCACAUUUAACUGUGUACCUGAAAGAAGAAAUUCCUGUGGAAUGGCAUUAUGGGAAAAAUCGCAGGGUAAUGCCGAUCUUUGCAACGGCUGAUGAGGGUUGGGCAAUAGUUACGGUGAGUAGUGUGUGUCAGAUAUUGUAACGUCAAUGACGUACGUAUGCUGUGAAAUGGCCGCAUACUAUACUGACAUGGACAGAACACCUGGCGGCACCUAAGCCGUCGACUAGGUCAUUAACCAUCAAAGUCAACAGUAAAUACAGAGGAACUAGCGGUUCUAUAUGAUCUUGUUACGAUUCUUCACAAACUGCAUUUGUAAAGCAGAGAACUUGUCGUAAAUUCAAUUCAAAGCAAUUUUAAAUAUUUCAAUCUCACAUUAACUGUAUGCUGGACAAACAUCAAUUGCUUUUUAUUCAUUCCAAAAUUCUAUUUUCUUACCAUUAAAAUGUCAUCCUGCUGCUGAUCACAAUAAUGAUAAUUACACAUUGUUGCGUUACAUGUAAUAAUAAUUUUUCUUCGUUUUAGAAUGCAAGCAUUGCAAUGACACUGAGUGACAAGGGUGACCAUGGUUACAACAACGCACUGCUUAGCAUGAAGCCUAUAUUUUACGCCAUGGGACCUAACAUCCGCCGGAACUACCAAGUGUCCGUAUUUAAGAAUGUUGACAUUUACCCGCUAGUCUGCGAACUUUUGCAGCUUCCUCCGGCUGCCAACAAUGGAAGUCUGAGGCGGGUGCAGAGUUUUAUUGUGUCUAAUGACAGUGUGAACUCCUCCACGGAACUUUCAACUCUUUCCGUCUGGGUUCUAUUGUUAUUUUCUAUCAUCUCUUCCACGAUAAUGUCAAAUUUGAGGAGUUUGUAGACAAAGAUUAUUCAAUGUU
rnacentral:misc_RNA from 1 species